CAGUCGCCACGGUAAUACGUAGGGUGCAAGCGUUAAUCGGAAUUACUGGGCGUAAAGCGUGCGCAGGCGGUUAUAUAAGACAGAUGUGAAAUCCCCGGGCUCAACCUGGGAACUGCAUUUGUGACUGUAUAGCUAGAGUACGGCAGAGGGGGAUGGAAUUCCGCGUGUAGCAGUGAAAUGCGUAGAUAUGCGGAGGAACACCGAUGGCGAAGGCAAUCCCCUGGGCCUGUACUGACGCUCAUGCACGAAAGCGUGGGGAGCAAACAGGAUUAGAUACCCGUGUAGUCCCUGUCUCUUAUCU
rnacentral:rRNA from 1 species